AUUGAACGCUGGCGGCAGGCCUAACACAUGCAAGUCGAGCGAGUGGCGAACGGGUGAGUAACGCGUAAUCAACCUGCCCUUCAGAGGGGGACAACAGUUGGAAACGACUGCUAAUACCGCAUACUGAAGGAGGGGAUUGCGUCUGAUUAGCUAGUUGGAGGGGUAACGGCCCACCAAGGCGAUGAUCAGUAGCCGGUCUGAGAGGAUGAACGGCCACAUUGGGACUGAGACACGGCCCAGACUCCUACGGGAGGCAGCAGUGGGGAAUAUUGGACAAUGGACCAAAGUCUGAUCCAGCAAUUCUGUGUGCACGAUGAAGUUUUUCGGAAUGUAAAGUGCUUUCAGUUGGGAAGCGGUACCAACAGAAGAAGUGACGGCUAAAUACGUGCCAGCAGCCGCGGUAAUUC
rnacentral:rRNA from 1 species